AAAGUCGUAACAAGGUUUCCGUAGGUGAACCUGGCGUAGGAUAAUUG
rnacentral:rRNA from 1 species